rnacentral:rRNA from 1 species
UACGUAGGGGGCGAGCGUUGUCCGGAUUUAUUGGGCGUAAAAGGCUUGUAGGUGGCCACGCCAAGUCGGAUGUGAAAUCUCCCGGCUCAACUGGGAGGGGUCAUUCGAUACUGGCGGGCUCGAGGCCGGUAGGGGGUAGCGGAAUUCCCGGUGUAGUGGUGGAAUGCGUAGAUAUCGGGAGGAACACCAGUGGCGAAGGCGGCUACCUGGACCGGUUCUGACACUGAGGAGCGAAAGCGUGGGGAGCGAUCCGG